AUGCCGAUGGCGGGGAGAUCCUCUGGCCGCGGCGGCGGGGGCGGGGGAGGAGGCGGGGGGAGGACGGUGCUGGGGGGCCGCGGCGGCGGGCCGGGGGUGGAGGACGCGGUGGUGAUGGAGCUGGCGGCGGGGGACGGGGAGGACAACGUCGUCACCGUCAACUGCCCCGACCAGGCCGGCCUCGGCUGCGACCUCUGCCGCACCAUCCUCGAGUUCGGCCUCCGCAUCACCCGCGGCGCAGACGUGUCGACGGACGGGCAGUGGUGCUACGUGAUUUUCUGGGUGGUGCCACGCUCGCCGUCCAUCAAUGUCCGGUGGGGGAGCCUCAAGAACCGGCUCAUGGCCAUGUGCCCUUCGUCAUAUGCCAUCCCGUUCUACCCUGAAAUCACCGAGCCAGGGCCCCCGCAGUUCUACCUCCUCAAGCUCUUCUCGACCGACCGUAGGGGGCUGUUGCACGAUGUUACGCAUAUACUGUCGGAGCUAGAGUUUAUAAUCCAGAGAGUGAAGGUGUCGACCACGCCUGACGGGAGGGUUGUGAACCUCUUCUUUAUCACUGAUGGCAUGGAACUGUUGCAUACGAAGGAAAGGCAAGAAGAGAUUUGCUCGAUGCUGAUUGCUACCUUAGGUCCUUCCCUUACUUGUGAAAUCCUAUCAGCGGAAGGGUUCCAGCAAGGAUUCUCUUCUCUUCCACCAACAAUCUCUGAGGAGCUGUUCAGAUUGGAACUAGAUGAAUGCGAGAGCAGUUCAGGGCCUCUUUCUGCGGAGAUGAAAAAGGUGCAGAAGGCCACCAUCAACUUUGACAAUUCCUUGAGUCCUGCACACACACUGCUCCAAAUUCUUUGUGUUGAUCAGAAGGGUCUCCUUUAUGACAUGUUGAGAACACUCAAGGACUGCAAUAUUAAGGUCACUUAUGGGAGAUUCUGGUCAGACAAGAAAGGUUUUCGCGAGGUCGAUCUUUUUAUCAAGCAAGCAGAUGGCAAGAAGGUUAUUGAUCCUGAGAAACAGGAUGCUCUGCGGUCCCGCAUGAGGUCCGAAAUGCUCCAUCCUCUUAGGGUGAUGAUCGUCAACCGUGGACCGGACACAGAACUCUUUGUUGCCAACCCUGUUGAACUUGCCGGGAAGGGUCGGCCACGGGUGUUCUAUGAUGCUACUUUGGCUUUGAAAGCGCUUGGAAUCUGCAUUUUCUCUGCAGAAAUCGGGAGACAGGCAGCAUCGGAGCGCCAAUGGGAGGUCUACCGAUUCCUCCUGGAUGACAGCAAAGAAUUUCCCUUGUCAAACAGCCUAACUAAUAGGAACCGUGUUGUUGAUAGAGUAAGGAAAACACUGAUGGGCUGUUACAACUGA
rnacentral:rRNA from 1 species